GGGACAUCAGUGCAUCGGCGGGGUCCUCACCUCCUCGCCCGUGGUACUGCAGCGAUGGGUGUCUGGAUGGAGUGUUGCUGUAGGCAUCCCCUUGGAUCUGACGCUGCUGCUCCACGUGUCUGGGAUUCCCUUCUGCCAGCCACUGCCUGUUGCGCACCGGUGUCUCGGGAAGAGGACCGUCGUAGCCCCGCUGACGGCCUCUCUCCUGGGUUUUUGAUGGCGAAUCGUUCGAUUGAGCGACAACGUGAUUCAUCAUUUUAGCACCGCGCUUCGUUGGCGGCAAACUGUCAGCUAUCGGCGAUCCCUGGGUCCCAAACACGCCCACAGAGUAGCGGCUAGCGCGCUGCGAGUCUGGGCUGCUUUUAACACUGACGACAUUGUUGCUUUUUCUACAGUUGUCUUUUGGCACCUUUCCAGACGUCUUAAAAGAUUUGUCUUUGGCCACCACGGCGGCUCGCUGAUCGACCAAAUCCAGAUCCUGGUCUGACAUGUUUUCGUUGUCAGAAUAAGAAGAGAAGUCUGAAUCUGCGCCCUCGUAAUUCUGGCUGCCGACACUAAUCCUCCUCUCCAGGUCGUAAGAGAUGUUCCAUUCCUGGGGAACCCGGCGGGAGUCGCACUGGUGUAACGCCACUUCCACACACAAAACAAUGAACGACUCCCAAACCGUUGCUGCGGUCCACCCUGGAACUGUGGCCGCGCAAUGGGCUCUCAUCGCCGGGCAUGACCGCUGCCAUGGGUCGGUGUUUCCGAGGCAAGAGGAGAGAAGAAAGUCCAACGAAACUUUCCUGCCUGCGCUUUACAAACUUUUGGCUGCUCCCACUGUACACAGCGCCAUCUCCAAUGCACGGGACCCGGCUCAGGCACCCCAAAGGCUACCUCCACCCCCAGCCAACCCCCAAUAACAGUGGAGCAAUGAGUGCAGGCUGCACAGGGACCCUAAACAAGGCUGCG
ensembl:lncRNA